UACGUAGGGCGCAAGCGUUGUUCGGAAUUACUGGGCGUAAAGGGCUCGUAGGCGGCCAACUAAGUCAGACGUGAAAUCCCUCGGCUUAACCGGGGAACUGCGUCUGAUACUGGAUGGCUUGAGUGUGGGAGAGGGAUGCGGAAUUCCAGGUGUAGCGGUGAAAUGCGUAGAUAUCUGGAGGAACACCGGUGGCGAAGGCGGCAUCCUGGACCAUUCCUGACGCUGAGGAGCGAAAGCCAGGGGAGCAAACGGG
rnacentral:rRNA from 1 species